AUGCGCUGUAUUAAAGGAAGAGGGAAUCUUAUUUUAGUAAAAAUUAACCAGACAGCCCCUCCCCCCAAGUCUUCUGCAAUUGCCCAUUGUGAAACAGCCCACAGUGGUAACAGCGGGGAUUGUCACACUGUCCCUUUCCAGAAGAGGUGGGGCUCCUCCCCUCGGCCCCUUCCCCUCCACGCGCCUCCUGGUUUCGGCCGGCCCGUCCUCUCCUUGCACUGCCAGGGACUUGCACUUGCUGCCGCUCUGCCAACCACACCUACUCACGUGCUUUCCCAAAAGCAAAAGCUAUUCAUUUUCCCCAGCGAUGGAAACAGCAGAUUCUGGGUGAGUUCUCUGGGACACCAAGAACCUGGGAAGAAUCUCUAGAAGUUGCCCAUAGCACCCCAGAUGCCAGUACCAGGUUGAAUUCUAACUUAGGCAUUUAAGAAUGUGAUUCUGUAAAGGUGUGAGCAAGGGAGCCGGGGUCUAAGGGUGGAUCCUAACCAGCACGACUGUGUCCUCACAGGAAGCAGAGGUCAGGACACAGGCAUACUCACAAGACAACUCUGAGGACCCAGGGAGAAGAUGCCCUCUGCAAGCCAAGGAGCGAGGGCCCUCCUAGAUCCUGGCUCUUGGACUUCCAGCCUCCACAACUGUGAGACCAUCAAUGUCUGCACCCCCAAACCAGCAGUGGUUUGUUACUGUGGCCCAGCAGAGUUAUGACCUGGUUCUUAUUCUGCUCUAACCACAUGGUUUCUCAGCCAUUCCCAGACAGCCAGGCACACUCCUGCCCCAGGACCUUGGCACAGGCUGUCCCCUGCCUGGCUGCUUACAGCUCUGGCCCUGCCUGCUUCAGGUCAUUCUCAGAUACCUUGCCCUUCCCCAAUGCCUUCCUUGGUCCCAAUCUCUGCUCCUUCCUGACUUCUUGGCAUCUUGUCUGUCUUCUUUUGUUACUGUCUUCUUCUCACCAGAUGUGGCCUCUACAGGCAGUUUUGUUUGCAUCCCGGGAGGGGAACAGGGCUGAACCAUCUCAUCACUGCAUCAUUUUUUGUUGCUGAAUGAAGGAACAAAUGAAUGGAGUGAGCUGCUCGGGCCGUGGAUUAACUCCUUCCUCACAAGCAAGCAUCCUUGUCAUCUCCUGGGAGGAAAUAAAGGUUAAGUGAGGAGCCCAAGGUGACACCUGCCGUUGGCAUGAGAAUAUGGAUGAGCAUCCCAGCAACCUGACCCUGCACGUUGGUCCUGAAUCCCCUCUGUCCCUGGGCCAAGGAGGGGGGGCCUGUGCACUGCCAUGUAUGGAAAAUCAGCCAAAGUAGCCCCUGGGUGGAUCUUGGGCUCCCUGGUUUGGAAAAGCAAAGAUCCUUCCUGCACUUCAAAAGGAGGCCAUAGCUCCCAGUGGAUAUGCAUAUACCCAGUUACCGAUUAAUGGGAAGGAAUUGGUAUGUGUGUGUUUAAAAAUGAGUUGUUUUAUGUGUGGUGGUGAUGCUGAGUAUUUCUGAGUGUGCAGACAAUCAGCCUUGGGAAUGCUUUCAGAACCAGGAAACUACAAUGCACACUAUUUGAAAACAUGAUGGGAUUUUUCUGAACGCCAAAUUUGGUUGUUUCUGAAGUCAAUAAAUACUGUGUUUUGUACAGAACUAAGUAGAUAGUUUUGUUUUUAUAGUUUUCAGCCUUCGAGGGAAG
ensembl:lincRNA